rnacentral:hammerhead_ribozyme from 1 species
ACACUGCUGAGGAGUCCCACAAUAGGACGAAACGAUCGUCCAAUGC